rnacentral:lncRNA from 1 species
ACACAGCGACUUCGUGAUGUCGCUCCGGGAGGUCGCUCCCAUGCUCGGUUCGUCCAAUGGUCACCUUUUCACCUCUUUUGAGUUUCAAAUAACCUCAUGUGGUACUCCAGUACCUAAUAGAGACUCAUGUAUGCAAAAUGCAACCUAAACAUGUCUGAAUCCUAAUCUAUAUGAUGAAAAUGCUCAUGGAUGAAUGGAUAAAACAAUGCAAAUAUGCAAGAUAUCAACUCCCCCAAACUUGUUCUUUUACUUGUCCACAAGUGAACUUUCUAGAACUCAUAGGGAGAGAGGUUGAAGGAGGGAGCACAUAGCCAAAAGAAACACAACUAGCACACUCUCUUAUUACACUCUAGCUUCUCUAGGCCUAUCUUAACUCUUUUUGUUCUUACACUCAUCAUCAAGCAUCCACACAUUCAAAUCAACCAACUCUCACAUUCAUUAAGCACAAAACAUCAGGUGAAUUCUUGCAAAUGGUCAGUUGGUCCAAGUCAUUUGGUUGGGUAAGGGAAGGCUUUUAUUCAAGUGAUUCAAGAGGUUCAAAACAUAUGAUCUUUAAGGUGGUUUACUCUCAAAACAAGUAGCCUUGACAUUGCACAUAAUAUAUCUAAGAAAGGGACCAACUCAUGCAUACAAUGCUCAAUCUCCAUUGUUCUACCCUUUUCCCAAACAUACAAUUACACAAUCAUUCCCAAAUGUCAAACCCAACUCACAUCUCUCACCAAAAGAUCCUAAGAACUUUAACUCCUUCUCUUUGAAAUCUACAAGGGAUUUUUCACAACCUCAAAACAUUUCUUAGCUCCUAACAACUUUGCUAGCCCCCUUUUUCUUUUUUUUUCUUUUUUUUUCUUUUCUCUUUUUUUUUCGUUUUUCUUUUUCCCUUUUUUUUUUUUUUUUAGGCUGGGGGCCAAGACUUUUCAAAACUUGAACUAGAGGCUUCUAUACUGGUCCCAAUAAAACAAUUCACUUAAGCACAAAGAGUCUAUUCUUUUCCUUUUUCAUUUCUCCCAAAUCAUAAUCACAACACUCACCCCCACUUAUAGCUAGACAAUAGAGUGUCCAAUCUAGCAAGAAUGAAGAUCAAGCAUUGUCGUUCCCGAUACUCUCAACAUUAUGCACAUGUAAGACUUUCCGAAAAAGGCCUCACUCAUCAAACAAUGAAAGCUUAAAAGGAGGAAAAGGUUUUGGGAGUGGUCUACCACUAGAGUUUGUCAAAAAAGAUUGGUAUAAAAGAUGUGACAACUCAAGUGUGUAUAGCCAUGACUCAGUACACAAGGGACCAUGAGCAAGAAGCAUUAAGUUCGUUCAGUUCAAAUAAGGUUGUAGUUGGCUUCAAAGACUGAGUUUCAGCAAUCAACAAGUUUCAGGAAGAGUUUUCAAGGCUCGAAACAUACAAGUCUUUUUGAGAGGUGCAAAAGCUAGUCAAGUGCAACGUAGUGUUCUUUACAAGGCAUUCAAAAUCAUUGCUCCCAAUGCAAGUGAAUGCAACCUAUAUGCUCUAGACUCUCCUAAAAAUGCAAAUGAUGCAAACUAAAUGAUUGAUUUUUUUUUUUUUAUCUAUGCAAAUAGGUAUGCCAUGCAUGACUCAAUGAAACAACAUCAAAGCAAACAUGAUCAAAUACUUGGUACCUCCCCCAAACUUGAGUUACACAGUCUCUGUGUCGUCAAGUAGAGAGAGAUACCGAAAAGAAGACUAAUAUGCAAAAAUGAAAUGGUAUAUACAAGGGAGUGUGGUGGGUUACCUUCUAUAGGGAAUGAGUAGAGGGAGAUGCUCCCUCAUCGUCGUCCUCAGGUGGUAACUCUUCAAGGUGCUCAUCAGCAGGAGUGCCCAUCUCUUCAAUGUAGAAGGCUUGCCCGAACACAGUUGGUUUCCUCAUUUUUCCCUUGAUGUCAAAGUGGAGGAUGUUCUCUUUACCCAAAUGGAGAUCAAUCGUGCCCUCCUUCACAUUAACAAUAGCUCCUGCUGUAGCUAAGAAUGGCCUUCCUAGAAUCAAUGGAUCUUGAGCCUCCUCACCCAUCUCAAGCACCACAAAAUCUGUAGGUAUCUCAUACCUUCCAAUCUUCACAGGGAGGUCCUCUAAGAUGCCCACAGGGUACUUCACUGAACGAUCAGCUAACACCAGAGAGAGUCUACACUUCUUGUACUGAGUGAAUCCAAGCUUCUUUGCAACAGACAAAGGCAUCAAGCUGACACUAGCUCCCAAAUCGCAGAGACUUUUCUCAAAUACCAUAGGUCCAAGAGCACAAGGUAGUGUGAAGCUUCCUGGAUCCUCUAAUUUCUCUGGAACAUCAAGCCUCUGGAUGAUGGCAUUGCACUCAUGGGUAAGAAUCAUCAUGCCUUCCAUCUCCUUCUUCUUUGCAGCUACAACAUCUUUCAGGAAAUUGUUGUAUUGAGGAAUCAACAUGAAAGCAUCGAUGAUGGGCAUUGCAACCUGAGCUUCACUCAUUUGCUUCUCAAACAGAGCUUUGUACUUCUCUAGCAGCUGCUUCUUGAAUCUACCAGGGAAUGGAAGUUUGGGUUCAUAGGGAGGAGGAACAAAAGAACUUUCACUUGCUGGAGUAACAACUUCACCAUCCUUUACUGUCUUCUUCUUCUCUCCAACCUUUCCUUUACCUUUGGCUUCCACUAUCUUCUCCAAGAUCUCGUCAUUGAUCUUCUCAUCAACAAUCACCACUUCAUCAUCUAUGUUGAUGGCAACCCCCUCACCUAGUUUCUCAGCAUCCUUGGUGAGGGUUCUAGGAGGUAACUGUUUACCACUCCUAAGGGUGAUAGCUUUGGCCUCCUUGGGAUUUGGUCAGACUUUCCAGGUAGAGAUCCUUGCUGACGAUUCUGGUGAGUGUUUAUGGAAGCAAAUUGAUUCUCUAAAUUCCUGACUGUAGAAGCAAGGUGUGAGAAUUUGUUGUUGAGCUCAUUGUAGCUCCCAUCAAUCUUGGAAUGAAGGUUCUUCAACUCAUAACCAACUUGCUUCUCACUUCUAGUCUGAGACUCCAAGAUUUGUUUCAGUAAGGUAUCAGUGCUGCUCUCUUGAGGAGCAGAGGAACCAGACGAGGGGUUUUGCUGAGGCUGAUAGCUGCCUUGCUGGUUGUUUCUAGGCGGAUAACCACUCUGUUGGUUGUUGGGAUAGGAUUUCUGUUGGUAGUUGUUGUACUGAAAGUUGGGCUCCUUUUUGUACCAGCUACCAUUGUUGUUGAUGAAACACAACUCCUCUUGACCUUCCAAACCCUCAACCUCAUUGACAGCAAGUGGAUCUUCCUGCUUGGAGUUACCAACAAACUUCAGCUGCUCUUGGGUUGCUUUUUCAGCAAUGAGUAGGUCGAUCUUGUCUUCCAAAGCUUUGAUCUCUUUCCUCGUCUGCUUAUCAUCUGUUCUACUGCCUCUGUCGUGGUCUCCACUGUAGACUGCAUCACUCUUUACCAUGUUGUCAACCAGCUCUUCUGCAUCCUCCUCAGUUCUCCCCAAGAAGAACCCAUUGCUAGCUGUAUCCAGUCUGGCUCUGUACUUAGGAAGAGCACCACGGUAGAAUGUGCUCAGCAAGCUCUCCUUAGAAAAGCCAUGGUGUGGGCAUUGAGCUUGGUAGCCCUUGAAUCUCUCCCAGGCUUCACUGAAGCCUUCCAAGUUCUUCUGUUGAAAGCUGGAAAUCUCGUUUCUCAGCUUAGCAGUUCUUGAAGUAGAGAAGAACUUCUCCAAGAAUGCUUUCUUGCAGUCAUCCCAAGUAGUGAUGGAGUCACUGGGUAGAGACUUCUCCCACUGACGUGCCUUAUCCCCCAAAGAGAAAGGGAAUAGCUUGAGCUUUAAGGCAUCUUCGGACACACCAUUGGUUUUUGACAACCCACAGUAGCUGUCGAACCUGUCCAAGUGAUCAAAUGGAUCCUCUAGAGCCAAGCCAUGAUACUUGUUGUUCUCGAUCACGUUGAGGAGUCCUGAUUUGAUCUCAAAGUUGUUGGCUGCCACAGCGGGUGCUCGGAUUCCCAAUCUAUGACCAUGAAUGUUGGGGCGGUCGUAAGUGCCAAUGGGUCGAGCUGCUCGCUGUUGGUUUUGAGGUAUGUCUCCCAUAUCAGUACUCAAUCUCUACAAGUGAGCCUGUUGCUCUUCUUCUCUUCUAUUUCUAGCACACUCUCUCUCUAAAGCUCUGAUGUCUGCAGCUAUUGGAACUAGGUUUGAUGGACCCCUGCUCCGCAAGUUCAUACACCUGUAGAUUAAAAGGAGGUGAAGAAGAGUCAGUAACAAAAGAAAAUAAAAAUGACUUAGUCUCAAGCAAUUGACUAAAUCUCAAUGUUUAAAUCUACUCAGAAUUUGGCAACGGCGCCAAUUUGAUGUUAGGAGUUUUCAAGGCUCCUAAGACAAAUGUUGUAGUAUAGAAGAUUGUCGAACCAGUUCUGAGGGAUAUCAAAGCACUGAGAAUGCAAUUACUCACUUAAUCUAAGUGCAACCAAUGAUUUAGAUGGGUUUUAGAACUAUGACUAAUUAAAAGGAAUAACUAAAUGAUACUUUCUUGACUAAGGGAAAAGAGAACUCAUGGGCAUAGGGAUUAGACCUUGGGUGAUCAAGUAUCGAACUAAGGAUGGCAAAUGAUCAAUCAAACUAUCAACCUUAAGCCUAGACACAAUUCUAAGCAAGCUCUAUGUCUAGAUGAAUGCUCAUUUGCUAACACAUCUCAAACAUCAAAUGUCUUUGGUUGAAUAAUAUGAAAGCAAUCAUUACUAACAAGUCUAUUAGCUAUCUUAGCACCUUUAACAACAAAUGUCUUUGGCAAAGUAUACUAAAAGCCUAGGAGAGUUGUCUCGGGCAUUUCAUCGAACACCUUUCGGGUGAGAAAUGCCUAAGGAUCAACAACUGAGUGGCCAACUCAGAAGAUGCAUUAUGAUUACUCUACUAGCAAGGAAAUAUGAAUGAUCUACACUAAAACAUCCUAGCUCUAACCUAAUCACCCUUAAUCUCCCUAACCCAUGAAUUCAAAAGGUGAUUACUCACUAAUCUCCAUGAUUCCUCUUAAACCCAUAUUGGAUUUCAGAUUAACCAUGUAGAGAAAUAGAUAAGAAAUCAACAAGAACACAAGAACAUAACAAAUCAAAAUCCAAGAGAUGAACUUCUCCAGAGAGUGUUUAUGUAUUUCUCCAAGAUAAAAGAUAAUCUGCCUCUGGUGGCUACAAAAGAUGUUUAAAACAUAGGUUUUUCCAAGUGCAAAACGUCCAAAAUAAAUUGCAAAAAGGUCCUUAAGAAAUCAUGAUUUUCGGCAGCAAAAUAACGCGGAGCGACUUGCAGGUGUCGCUCCGGGAAGUCGCUCCAGGGCCGAUUUUUGGUGUCUCCGGGCGAGAGGUCGCGAGCGACUUUGGUGUGUCGCUCCAACGGGUCGCUCUGGAUUGGGAGCGACCUUGGUAGGUCGCUCUGAGAGGUCGCUCCAGGGUCAUCUAAGACUGUUCGGAGUAAUGAGAACGCGAGCGACUUCAUGGCGUCGCUUUAGGAAGGUCGCUCUGAGAAGUGGGACACAGCGACUUCGUGAUGUCGCUCCGGGAGGUCGCUCCCAUGCUCGGUUCGUCCAAUGGUCACCUUUUCACCUCUUUUGAGCUCCAAAUAACCUCAUGUGGUACUCCAGUACCUAAUAGAGACUCAUGUAUGCAAAAUGCAACCUAAACAUGUCUGAAUCCUAAUCUAUAUGAUGAAAAUGCUCAUGGAUGAAUGGAUAAAACAAUGCAAAUAUGCAAGAUAUCA